AUCGCGCGGGCAUUCAUGUCUUCGCCGGUAGCUUCUUUCAAGACAUCGCGCCAGUUUCUGGAGGCGCCGGGGUGCAUGAUCUUCUUCAGAAAAUCUCCGAUUUCCUUGUUGCCAUAAUAAUUCGUUGCCGUCGGAUUUUCUUGAAGGAUAUUUUCUGCAAUAUGCUGGUGAAGCUGGAACAUCAGGACCGUUGAUAACGCAUAAUCAUAAUAUUGUGCGGCGUCAUCGUUGAUGUGUGUUUUUGUUGCAGCGUCACAGUAUUCAUCGCCCCUUUCACCCGGCGGAAGGAUGCCCUGAUAUUGUCUCGCAAGCUCCCACCACUUAUCGUUGAAUUGAUCUGGCGAGAGUCCAUCCGCAUACAAGGCUUUUUCGAAUUCACUCAUGACACCGGCGGAGAAAGGUAUAAACACCACAUGUUGUAAUGCUUCUU
rnacentral:misc_RNA from 1 species